GCUACAUUAUCACUACAUUAGGAAAAGAAUAAGAAUAAUCUUGCCAGCUUUUGUUCUACACAUUAAAUAAUGACCUUUUGAAUGAGUCAUUUAACCUGCAAAAAUUUAAAAAAAUAUUUUCCUUUAGUAAUUUUGUAAGAAUUGUAUUCCCUUAUAGGAAGGUCAUUCUUUGAAGGGAGAAGGCCCACCCAGAAUAAGAGAAGUGUGGCAUUAUUAAUUUCUGCAUUGGAACAUUUGACCAUGACCUUGAAUGCGUUCCCAGAAGUGUUGUAAUAUAGGACAUCAGCCCUUGGAUUUGAGACUGGCAGGGUCUCUUUCGGACACUCUUUUAGAGUCCUCCCUCAAAAAUGAAAAAGCUUCCAGAUUGAACAUCUCUUGGCUG